UCCUAAACAUUAACCCAAACCUCCACAGAAUGAAAGUUCAGAGAAAGGCUGCUUCUUCUUCUUCUCCAACGCCCGAGAGUAGAGACCAGAGAUGGAAUCUCCAUCACGAAGAGAGACAAAGAGCAGAUCAGUAGAGCUUCUUCUUCUCCGACGCCUGAGAAAACCCGCCGCCGCGCCAUCCUCUUCAUAUUGCUGCUGACCAUCCCUCCCAGUGUGGGAUAUGAGCAGAAUCCAUUGAGCGUGUACUAUUGUUAUGAUGUUGAAGGCACUUCUACAUGUUUGAACAAGUGCAUUGCUAAGGUAACAAACACACCAUGGGGUGAAAGAGUAUCUUUUAUUUUCAAUCCACACUUUGAUCUUGUGGCAAAAUCCUUCCAUGUUAGCCCUUUCAUGAUAUGUUUAAGCUCUGCAUUUUGCUGGUGCCAUUUCUACAUUUCUAGAUAGUUUCUUAUGUAUUCAGAAAUCAAAAGUUACUUACUCAGAUAACCAAUGUCUCCGUUCUUCUUAGCUCUUCACAGGUUUACAGGUUGCUGGAUAUAGCUUGACUGUAAAGGAACUUAAGGGACAUUGUAAAACAACAAAGUGAUUAAUGUAAAAUGGUAAUUUCUUAGAUCCUUCUGGUUCUGUGCAACUGUUGCUGACUGGGUCAGAGUAAGAGGAAUAUUAGCACAUGUUCAAUACUUAUUAGCCAUUUUUCCUAAAUACUCGUAGGAAUUAGGAGAGAGAAGUUUAAAUUGUUUAAACUUUAUCUUCAUGUGAACAAAUGAUAAGAAAAGUUCUUUCCACCCAAAAAUAAAAAAGGUAUCAUGAGAAGAAAAUGCUAAGAGUGUUGUACUAAUUAAUAAGGGAGAACAAAUUGAUGAUGUUAUCAGAAUGAAAUGCCUACCAAAAGUAAUUGUACUGGACACAUCCUUGUCCACACCAUAAGGACCCUUUAUGUUCCUUCUUAAAUCUGAAUAUAGUCACAGCUUGUCAGCAAUUUUUGAUAGAGCAUCUGUGAGCUUGCCAAGAGUUUCAACCAAGCUAUAUGUUUGCUCCUUCUGAUGUUCUCUGGCCAGCUGGUAAUUCAUAUUCUGAGCCUCAAGAUGUGCUUUCAGCAUGUUAUUGUUCCUUCUUAGAACUCUGACGAUGUAGUUGUUGAAAUUUGUGGUGUGUUCACUAUUAUCUGAUGAUAAUCUCCUCUUCUUGUGCCCCUCCUGUGACACACCUUCUCUUUGAAAGCCUGAACCAACAAAGUAGGUGAGAGUCAAUCCGUGGACAAAUAUAUCAGACUAAAUCCCCAAGUGGUUUUUGAGAUUCAUUACCAUUUACCACCAAGAUGGAGCUUAUAUCUAAAGUUCAAAAUCCAUUUAUAGUGGAGCAUAAAGAUUCAUGGGUAGAAAGGGGUUGUUUUGUAUCUAUUGUCUUAAGUUAUUAUGAAGGAGGAGAUAUGGCUGAAGCUAUAAAAAAGGCAAAUGGUGUUCAUUUUUCUAAAGAGGAUGCCUGUUCGAAAAUUACAAGGAGAUUGCAGCGUUUCAAAUUGAGAAUGAUUCUUCAGCAAUAAAAAUAAUAUUUUGUAUCAUUAGUAAAUUGCAAUUUAGAUAUAUUUAAAUAUAAGUUUAGUUAUUUAUUUUGUUCUGAAUCUUUAUGUUAGAGGAAUGUUUAUUUUUUUGAUA